rnacentral:misc_RNA from 1 species
GAUGAAGAACGCAGCGAAAUGCGAUAAGUAGUGUGAAUUGCAGAAUUCCGUGAAUCAUCGAAUCUUUGAACGCACAUUGCGCCUUCUGGUAUUCCGGAAGGCAUGCCUGUUCGAGAGUCAUUAACAACCGUUUCGAUCCCUUUCUUUCAGAAAUUACAAAGAGGAAAAGGGUUUGGUUAUGGUGGAGGAGGGAAAGGGAGCGUUUAGCCUGUAAAAAAAGAGGCUGUGUUCCGCCUCCCCCCCAAAAUUGUACAGGCGGUCGUGUGCGCCCACGCAUCGAGGUGUUGUAAAAGCUGCCACGGCACUUUUCACCUGUGCAGUGCGAGAUUGGCCAGCCGGUUUAAAAACCCCUCCAAACAAUCAAAGGUUGACCUCGGAUCAGGUAGGGAUACCCGCUGAACUUAAGCAUAUCAAUAAGCGGAGAA